CGAGACAUGGCUUUGGUUUAUCAAGCAACCUUAUCCAAGUCAUAAUCCGGAUUAGAGACAAUUGAAGACCACAAUAUCAAUUUCUAAUCGGAUUCCAUCGAAGAAACCCCUUUAUCAGGUCCGCAGCAGGGCCUGGUGUUUACUUCAACUCCCCAAGGCAGAUUCAUCUACUAGCCAAGCAUGAAGCCUUCCUUCCCCGACCAGAAUGACGAGUCACGAGUGAUCGCUAACCUUGAGAUCCUACCAUACCAAGAGGGAACCACCCCUGUCACCAAUCUAUGAAGAAGAUGACUCUACAUAAGUUAUCACCUCAAGCUUUGAGAGCUAUGCUCCAGAAAGCGAACUUUUCGCCUUAAUUACAAACGGGGAAGAAGGUGAACAACAUCAACCAGGAACCCCCCAACGAGAGCGUCACCCAGAUGAUGUAUCACAAGAUGAAUUAUCUGCCAACAUUGUCGAAGAAACCGAAAGCCAAAGGACUCGGCAGAGGGCAAGAAACACACAGAGAGCAGAAUGACGCCUUCAACUAGCUGCCAAGCUCCCAAUUAUGAACCUUGAUAGAGCAUUCAAAGCUUUGCAAACGUGACAACACAAUAUGACAGUCACUACUAUUGCCUCCAUCGACCUAAUCACUCAUGCUAUGCCUCAAGACAAGUACAGUACUCUGAUAGCACAAUUGGCGGAACACGCCUAUCAAUUACUCGACAGAGCAACUCUAAUUCCAUCAAUUUCCCACACCCCAUCGGGGUGUAGUCAGCAUGGCAACAGCAGAGACCACGCAGGACCUUAAGCUCAACCACGCGAAAAGGCCAG
rnacentral:lncRNA from 1 species